GUGGAUUAGAUACCCUAGUAGUCCACGCCCUAAACGAUGAUCACUCGAUGUUGGCGAUAUACAGUCAGCGUCUGAGCGAAAGCAUUAAGUGAUCCACCUGGGGAGUACGAUCGCAAGGUUGAAACUCAAAGGAAUUGACGGGGGCCCGCACAAGCGGAGGAGCAUGUGGUUUAAUUCGAUGAUACGCGAGGAACCUUACCUGGGCUUAAAUGGGAGACGACCGCUGCCGAAAGGUGGCUUCCCUUCGGGGCGUCUUUCAAGGUGCUGCAUGGCUGUCGACAACU
rnacentral:rRNA from 1 species